UGGGGAAUUUUGGACAAUGGGCGAAAGCCUGAUCCAGCCAUGCCGCGUGAGUGAAGAAGGCCUUCGGGUUGUAAAGCUCUUUUAGUCGGAAAGAAAGAGUUGCAAUGAAUAAUUGUGAUUUAUGACGGUACCGACAGAAAAAGCACUGGCUAACUACGUGCCAGCAGCCGCGGUAAUACGUAGGGUGCGAGCGUUAAUCGGAAUUACUGGGCGUAAAGGGUGCGCAGGCGGUCUUGCAAGUCAGAUGUGAAAGCCCCGGGCUUAACCUGGGAAUUGCGUUUGAAACUACAAGGCUAGAGUGCAGCAGAGGGGAGUGGAAUUCCAUGUGUAGCAGUGAAAUGCGUAGAGAUGUGGAAGAACACCGAUGGCGAAGGCAGCUCCCUGGGUUGACACUGACGCUCAUGCACGAAAGCGUGGGGAGCAAACA
rnacentral:rRNA from 1 species